GGCUGGUCCGAGUGCAGUGGUGUUUACAACUAAUUGAUCACAACCAGUUACAGAUUCCUUUGUUCCUUCUCCACUCCCACUGCUCCACUUGACCAGCCUUAA
rnacentral:Y_RNA from 1 species